GUUGUAUGUUUACGACUCCGUGAACAGCUUUUCAAACUGCGGAAACCAGUUAGCUUUUCUGAGAGCAAUCUUCUUCUCCAAAAUACUAAUUCGACAAUUACAAUUGUAGUUCCUUCCGAAAAUUCCAUCGUGCUGGACCUCGAAACUGAACGCCAUAAGCAAAUAGUAUUGGAUAAGAUGUUACUCGACUCACUGUGGCAAGCCGUAUGUCGUCAGGAUAUGCAGUUGUUUGUCAUAGUCAACAAUUUUCUGGUCCUUCGUUCAUCGUAUUAUUUCCUUGACGAUCGCAAUGAAUACGACGGGCUCUCAUGCUCAGGAUUCUGAAAGCUAGAGGAACCCCACUAGCCCCAAGCACUGAGCUUACAACUUCCAGCCACGAAUCUGGCAUGGUGUAUCACGUUAGUUGUUAUCACAUCAUUUCAGGGUACACUGGCAACAAAUUUUCUCCUUGAUUAGCAAUGGUGCCCUGAAUUAUUGCCUUGCAAACCUCUGUUCCAAUAAGCGUCUGGUGCCUAGUCAUAGCCUAGUUCUUUCUAUAAAAUGGCUUAUGGGUAUGCUGCAGCCUGUGCUCUUUUUAUGCCAUUCACUGGCCUUGGUGCUUGUCUGGAACUUCCUGUAACUGGUGCCUGGCUCGGCAUGCUAUGUAUGAUGUAGAACAUGCUCUAUAUAACGUAUAUUCUGUGCGCCAUCUUCGAAAUCAAUCGACCAAUUGUUGCCCAACCUGUUGAUUUGUCCCGUCCGGAACACGAUGUCGCUGUGCCCAUGGUGCACUGUAGACUCAACAUCCCGCUUCAAAUUUAGCUUCACAAUCACACGUUAAUGCUGCUAACAUGUUGUCUCGCACUUGAUGGCAUUGCUCUAUUUCUGCCUUUAGUAUUUGACUCUACUCUUUUUGCACUGCUAUAAUUUUAUGCUACUUUAAAGCUCAGUGUUAAUAUUGCGUGAGUCAAGUGUGCGCCCUGUGCCAGUUCACAGCCUAGUAGUCACAGGUCUAGGGCUGCACAGCGCUCCGCAUGACAUUCACUCGCUUGAUUGGAUUUCAUUGAGCAGCACUGUAGUAUUCUGUGUUGGUCGAUAUGUCCGUUAAGUGACGACUCCUGUCUGUCACUCUGUCUUGAAAAGGACUUUUCGACUUGGUACUAUGAUCAUUGUGUGUGGAUUCACGAGUUACUCAGAGUAGAAUUCACUAUUAAUUUCACUAUAGUAAAACCUGCCCGGGAAGGACGCCUUGCUGCAGUGGAAACUGUCCUGAUGUGAAAGGACUCCGCUUCAUCCACAGCACUUUGGUGCAUGAAAAUUUGUGCGGUCAAUACAGGAUUCCGCUUGGUACAGCCUGGCAAACACAGGUUUUACUGCAAUCCAAUUUCUCAAUGCAUACGUUUCAUCGCAUACCGGUAUGUUACGAUUUUAUUAUGACAUUGUGU